rnacentral:rRNA from 1 species
UCGAUUUGGAGUUUGUUGCCUAGAGUGAUGGGCUCCGAAGCUAACGCGAUAAAUCGACCGCCUGGGGAGUACGGCCGCAAGGUUAAAACUCAAAUGAAUUGACGGGGGCCCGCACAAGCGGUGGAGCAUGUGGUUUAAUUCGAUGCAACGCGAAGAACCUUGCCUGGUCUUGACAUCCACAGAAUCUUUCAGAGAUGAGGGAGUGCCUUCGGGAACCGUAACACAGGUGCUGCAUGGCUGUCGUCAGCUCGUGUUGUGAAAUGUUGGGUUAAGUCCCGCAACGAGCGCAACCCUUAUCCUUUGUUGCCAGCGAUUAGGUCGGGAACUCAAAGGAGACUGCCGUUGAUAAAACGGAGGAAGGUGGGGACGACGUCAAGUCAUCAUGGCCCUUACGACCAGGGCUACACACGUGCUACAAUGGCGUAUACAAAGGGAAGCGAAGGUGCGAGCUGGAGCGGACCUCCUAAAGUACGUCUAAGUCCGGAUUGGAGUCUGCAACUCGACUCCAUGAAGUCGGAAUCGCUAGUAAUCGUGAAUCAGAAUGUCACGGUGAAUACGUUCCCGGGCCU